UAAGCGAAGAUGGCUUUUGGAGUCGUCUCCAUCUCCGCCUCAACCAGUCGUCUCCCCACCCCUCUCCACAACAAGCUCCCACGUCUCCUCCUGGCGGCACCGGCCCAGAUCCCGCUUCUCCGUCGGUCAUCGCCUCCUCUGCUUUGAUUCUGAAACCCCCGACGUAGUGUUUGCAGACUUUCCCAACAAACAUGAAGAACACUAACAGACUAGAACUACUACAAAAUGGACUCAUGAUCAAGCAAAGUGCCAAUCAGCAUGACGCCAUGAAUUCUUUCACUGCAUUUCUUUUUGAAGAAGUAUCAAAUGUUCAUAACUUGAAGUUCAGAUCGGACUUCCGGGUUUAGAGUAUAAUCAUUGCGAAUCCGGUUUGACUGGACCUCCGAUGGGACUUCGAAAUCAUAGCACAUGACGGGCUGUCCACCAUUGUCAACUGCUUGGUACGACAGACUAAAUCUCAUGUCUAAUUGAUGUCUGUGGAUUCCGUCUCCUGAUUUCCUUUCUCUCACCGUGACUUCUUUCUGUGAUCAUCGUCAUUGUCAACUUUUUAAAUCUCCGACAUGACGAAGUUUUCUGUCGAGUAGAAUUCUACUGUUGUUUCCUUGAUUUGUCUCAGGUCACACCACAACUAGGCCAAACUUCAUUUUUUGCUGGUUGGAGGCGAAUUACAUGGUACACGCUUCUUUCUUUCGUUUUCUCCCUCCCCCCUUUUGUUAAGUGGGGUGGUGUGGUUAGUUGGGAACGUGAAAUGUGGACAUGAUUUUGCACUCGUUUGAAAUAUCUCUGUCGAACAACCUCAUAUCGUAGAGAUCAAGGAGAUCAGAUCAUGUCUUUCUGCUCUUGUAGUACGUACGACGGAUCGUGCGAAUAUUUUAUUAUA